rnacentral:lncRNA from 1 species
AAUAACUAGAAAAUAAUUUUUUAUAUAAUUUUUGGUCAAAAAAUAAAAUAAUAUUUUUUUCUAUGGGUGAUAUAAAAAAAAGAAAAAACUUCAAGUAUCACUCCUAUGGUUUCGCACUUUCUCACUUUAAUAGCAUGUAACUUAAAGUGUAUCACUUACGUACUCUGUGGUUUUAUUUUUCUUUUUUUGUUAUCUCCUCUACUAAUUUUUUUUCGUUAAAUCAGUGAUAAAGAUAAAACUAAAAUGUACUAAAGUGAAUAUUCGAUAAACUAUCGGUGGGGUAUUUGAAAUUUUUUAUAUAUAAUUUAAUAAAAAGUUAACAGAGAGGGUGACGAAAAAAUAAAAAAAACACAACAGGGUACUAAAUUGGUAAAUUUUAAACCACAAGGUACUAAAGUGAGAAAUUAUGAAACCGCAAGGGUGGUAUUUAAAGU